GACGAACGCUGGCGGCGUGCUUAACACAUGCAAGUCGAACGGAAAGGCCCUGCUGUUGUGGGGUGCUCGAGUGGCGAACGGGUGAGUAACACGUGAGUAACCUGCCCUUGACUUUGGGAUAACGUCAGGAAACUGGGGCUAAUACCGGAUAGGAGCUCGUGCUGCAGGGUGGGGGUUGGAAAGUUUAGGCGGUUGGGGAUGGACGCGCGGCUGAUCAGCUUGUUGGUGGGUGAGGGGCUUACCAAGGAUUUGAAGGAUAGCCGGCCUGAGAGGGGGACCGGCCACAUUGGGCCUGCGAUACGGCCCAGACUCCUACGGGAGGCAGCAGUGGGGAAUAUUGCACAAUGGGCGGAAGCCUGAUGCAGCAACGCCGCGUGCGUGAUGACGGCCUUCGGGUUGUAAACCGCUUUCGCCUGUGACGAAGCGUGAGUGACGGUAAUGGGUAAAGAAGCACCGGCUAACUACGUG
rnacentral:rRNA from 1 species